rnacentral:rRNA from 1 species
AUUGAACGCUGGCGGCAUGCCUUACACAUGCAAGUCGAACGGCAGCACGGGAGCAAUCCUGGUGGCGAGUGGCGAACGGGUGAGUAAAGCAUCGGAACGUGCCCAGCCGUGGGGGAUAACGUAGCGAAAGCUUCGCUAAUACCGCAUACGAUCUACGGAUGAAAGCGGGGGCUCGCAAGACCUCCCGCGAUUGGAGCGGAUGAUAUCAGAUUAGGUAGUUGGUGGGGUAAAGGCUCACCAAGCCGACGAUCUGUAGCUGGUCUGAGAGGACGACCAGCCACACUGGGACUGAGACACGGCCCAGACUCCUACGGGAGGCAGCAGUGGGGAAUUUUGGACAAUGGGCGCAAGCCUGAUCCAGCCAUGCCGCGUGCAGGAUGAAGGCCUUCGGGUUGUAAACUGCUUUUGUACGGAACGAAAAGGUUUGGCCUAAUAGGCUGGACCCAUGACGGUACCGUAAGAAUAAGCACCGGCUAACUACGUGCCAGCAGCCGCGGUAAUAC